GACGAACGCUGGCGGCGUGCUUAACACAUGCAAGUCGAGCGGAAAGGCCACUUCGGUGGUACUCGAGCGGCGAACGGGUGAGUAACACGUGAGUAAUCUGCCCCUCACUUUGGGAUAGCCACCGGAAACGGUGAUUAAUACCGGAUAUGACCAUAUGUCGCAUGGCGUGUGGUGGAGAGUUUUUCGGUGAGGGAUGUGCUCGCGGCCUAUCAGCUUGAUGGUGAGGUAAUGGCUCACCAUGGCUUCGACGGGUAGCCGGCCUGAGAGGGUGACCGGUCACACUGGGACUGAGACACGGCCCAGACUCCUACGGGAGGCAGCAGUGGGGAAUAUUGGACAAUGGGCGGAAGCCUGAUCCAGCAACGCCGCGUGAGGGAUGACGGCCUUCGGGUUGUAAACCUCUUUCAGUACCGACGAAGCGCAAGUGACGGUAGGUACAGAAGAAGCACCGGCCAACUACGUG
rnacentral:rRNA from 1 species